rnacentral:rRNA from 1 species
AUUGAACGCUGGCGGCAGGCCUAACACAUGCAAGUCGAACGAGUGGCGGACGGGUGAGUAAUGUCUGGGAAACUGCCUGAUGGAGGGGGAUAACUACUGGAAACGGUAGCUAAAACCGCAUACCAUCGGAUGUGCCCAGAUGGGAUUAGCUAGUAGGUGGGGUAAAGGCUAACCUAGGCGACGAUCCCGAGCUGGUCUGAGAGGAUGACCGGCCACUCUGGAACGGAAACACGGUCCAGACCCCUACGGGAGGCAGCAGUGGGGAGUAUUGCACAAUGGGGACAAGCCUAAUGCAGCCAUGCCGCGUGUAUGUAGAAGGCCUUCGGUUUGUAAGGUACUUUCAGCGGGAAGGCGUUACCCGCAGAGGAAGCCCCGGCUAACUCCGUGCCAGCAGCCGCGGUAAUAC